UACGGGGGGGCAAGCGUUGUUCGGAAUUACUGGGCGUAAAGGGCUCGUAGGUGGCCAACUAAGUCGGACGUGAAAUCCCUCAGCUUAACUGGGGAACUGCGUCCGAUACUGGAUGGCUUGAGGUUGGGAGAGGGAUGCGGAAUUCCAGGUGUAGCGGUGAAAUGCGUAGAUAUCUGGAGGAACACCGGUGGCGAAGGCGGCAUCCUGGACCAAUUCUGACGCUGAGGAGCGAAAGCCAGGGGAGCCAAA
rnacentral:rRNA from 1 species